GCCUGUGUUGCUCUCGUCCGUUCUGGGGCCCCUGGCGUUAUCUUUUUCCUUCUUUCCCCUUUUUUGGGGGGGGGCAGGGUUUUUUUUUUUUUUAGGGUUAGGUCUCUCCGCCCGCACGCGAAGGGACCGGGGGCUAUAACCCAGAUAAGAAAUUUUGUUAUUGGUGGGCCUCCCAAUAUUUCCCUUGGGGGGGGGGGAGUUGGUGAAAACCGGGGGAACCUCCCCCGAAGGGGGGGAUAACCCUGGAAAACAGGUUUUAUACCGCAUAACAAUUGGGCCCGCUGGUCCAAAUUAGAAGAGUGGUUCGGCUUUCCCUUUGGGAGGUCCCGGGGGUUUUAAGUAGAUGGUGGGUAAGGCUCACCCUGGCAAUGAUAGGUAGCCGACCUGGAGAGGUAUUCGCCCACUUGGGACUGAGACCCGGCCCAAAUUCUUACGGGAGGCAGCAGUAGGGAUCUUCCACAAUGGACGAAAGUCUGAUGGAGCAACGCCGCGUGAAUGAAGAAGGGUUUCGGCUCGUAAAAUUCUGUUGUUAAAGAAGAACAUAUCUGAGAGUAACUGUUCAGGUAUUGACGGUAUUUAACCAGAAAGCCACGGCUAACUACGUGCCAGCAGCCGCGGUAAUACGUAGGUGGCAAGCGUUGUCCGGAUUUAUUGGGCGUAAAGCGAGCGCAGGCGGUUUUUUAAGUCUGAUGUGAAAGCCUUCGGCUCAACCGAAGAAGUGCAUCGGAAACUGGGAAACUUGAGUGCAGAAGAGGACAGUGGAACUCCAUGUGUAGCGGUGAAAUGCGUAGAUAUAUGGAAGAACACCAGUGGCGAAGGCGGCUGUCUGGUCUGUAACUGACGCUGAGGCUCGAAAGUAUGGGUAGCAAACAGGAUUAGAUACCCUGGUAGUCCAUACCGUAAACGAUGAAUGCUAAGUGUUGGAGGGUUUCCGCCCUUCAGUGCUGCAGCUAACGCAUUAAGCAUUCCGCCUGGGGAGUACGGCCGCAAGGCUGAAACUCAAAGGAAUUGACGGGGGCCCGCACAAGCGGUGGAGCAUGUGGUUUAAUUCGAAGCUACGCGAAGAACCUUACCAGGUCUUGACAUACUAUGCAAAUCUAAGAGAUUAGACGUUCCCUUCGGGGACAUGGAUACAGGUGGUGCAUGGUUGUCGUCAGCUCGUGUCGUGAGAUGUUGGGUUAAGUCCCGCAACGAGCGCAACCCUUAUUAUCAGUUGCCAGCAUUAAGUUGGGCACUCUGGUGAGACUGCCGGUGACAAACCGGAGGAAGGUGGGGAUGACGUCAAAUCAUCAUGCCCCUUAUGACCUGGGCUACACACGUGCUACAAUGGAUGGUACAACGAGUUGCGAACUCGCGAGAGUAAGCUAAUCUCUUAAAGCCAUUCUCAGUUCGGAUUGUAGGCUGCAACUCGCCUACAUGAAGUCGGAAUCGCUAGUAAUCGCGGAUCAGCAUGCCGCGGUGAAUACGUUCCCGGGCCUUGUACACACCGCCCGUCACACCAUGAGAGUUUGUAACACCCAAAGUCGGUGGGGUAACCUUUUAGGAACCAGCCGCCUAAGGUGGGACAGAUGAUUAGGGUGAAGUCGUAACAAGAGCAGCCU
rnacentral:rRNA from 1 species